rnacentral:rRNA from 1 species
AUGGGAAGAACCAAUGUUAAUCCUGUUUGGCGUAAGAUUUGGAAAUUAUCCUGUCCAACAAAGGUAAAGAUUUUCAUCUGGCGUACCUUACAUGGAACCCUCCUGUGUUGUGCCACACUUGCUAAUAGGCACAUAAAAGUAUCACCCACUUGUCCUUCAUGCUCCAAUGGGGCAGAAGAUACGAAACACGUUUUACUCUUGUGUCAAAAGGCAAGAGAGGUAUGGGGCAAGCUAGGAUUGCAUGAGGUGAUCAAUAAAGCUUGUGUUGUUGAUCGUGCGGGAGAGGCGGUUUUGGAAUUCUUACUAUUAAUGCCCGAACAAGACUUAACAAUAAUGGGUUCUCAGAAAGCAAGUGAACUGAUCGCGGUUACAUCUUGGUAUUUAUGGUGGGAUAGACGCAAACUGGUUCAUGAAGGAAAGGUUCAAGACGCACUCCAAACUUCUAUGGGUGCCCUGGCUAUAACGGCUAACUAUAUUGAUGCACACCACCCAAAGGCAACUAGUAAAACAGGGGGUUGGAGCAGACCGCCUAUGGGUUUUGUUAAACUUAAUGUUGACGCCUCUUUUGACCAUGAUUUACUUAGGGGCACAGCUGGAGCUAGUCUCAGAGAUGAUAAUGGAAGAUUCAUCGUUGGUGGAACUGGAGGAUUGAUUGGUGUGCCAAUGUAUUAA